AGGAGGACCAGGCUGUCCGCGUCCCCGAGGCGGGGCAGGAGGCCGGUCCCGCCCCAGAGGCUGGCCAGGUGGUGGCGGCCAGCCCGGGGAAGGAUGGCCUGGGCCUGUGGGUCUCGGCCCCCAGCCCGGAGGAGGGGCAAAAGGAGGCCAGGAGAGCCACGACCCCCGCGGAGGACGAGGGAGCGGGGCUCGUCCUCCGAGGAGUGGGGAAGGGAGUGGUGACCCCUUCCCCACCACCACAGCGCCAACUCCCCCAGCCAGGGAAGGCUCGCCAGGGGAGGGGCAGGGCUGGAAGCAGGUUGUCCCACGGCCUGUGGGACAACCUGCUCGCCAUUGCACAGACCCUGUCCCUCACCCUGGUGGUGUACUCCGCCCUGCUGGAGUACUUCCCU